rnacentral:misc_RNA from 1 species
CCUCCGUUUCACAAUGUAAAUCAUUCUAGUAUUUCCCACAUUCAUAUUGAUAUUAAUAAAUCUAGAGAUAUAUAUCUAUCAAGAUUCAUUAACAUCAAUAUUAAUGUGGGAAAUGCUAGAAAUGAUUUACAUUAUUAAAC